rnacentral:rRNA from 1 species
ACGCUCGACACCUACGGGAAGCAGCAGUUAGGAAUAUUGGGCAAUGGAGGAAACUCUGACCCAGCAACGCCGCGUGAAGGAAGAAGGUUUUCGGAUUGUAAACUUCUGAUCUAGGGGAAGAAGGAAGUGACGGUACCCUAGGAGAAAGCCACGGCUAACUACGUGCCUGCAGCCGCGGUAAUCUGAGGCGGGCGUGGACGAAGGC